ncrna:Corynebacterium jeikeium L31-Corynebacteriaceae ribosomal protein leader
ACUCAGGCACGACCCGCGCAAGGGAUGCGCAGGACCGACCUGUUGUACACACUCCUAGGGA